UUUUUUUUGAGACAGGGUCUUACUUUGUUACCCAGGCUAGAGUACAGUGGUGCAAUCUCAGCUCACCAUAACCAGGUUCAAGUGAUUCUCCCACCUUAGUCUCCCAAGUAGCUGGGACUAUAGGCACGUGCCACUAUACCUGGCUAAUUUUUGUAUUUUUAGUAGAGAUGGGGUUUCACCAUGUUGGCCAGGCUGGUCUCGAACUCCUGACCUCAAGUGAUCUGUCUGCCUCAGCCUCCCAAAGUGCUGGGAUUACAGGCGUGAGCCACCGUGCCUGGCCUCUGGGUAGCUUUUUGAAUUCUGAUGCUGCUACCCCAGAGUCUAUACUUUAUGAUUCAAUUUGUGUUAAGCUGUAGAACAGGCUGAAACUAAUUUACAAUGGGAAUAGUCAGAUCAGUGGUUGCUUGAUUGGCAGGUGGGAGUGGAUCGACUGAGAAGUUAUACAGGGGAAGUUUUGGGAUGAUGGUGAUGUUCCGUCUUGAUGGAAAUAUGGGUUACAUGGGUGCAUGCAUUUGUUAGAAUUUAUUGAGUGGUAUACACAAGAUUUGUGAAUUUUACUAUAUUCAUUACAAAUUUUAUUUUUGUAGAGAUGGGGGUCUCACGAUGUUGCCCAGGCUGGUCUUGAACUCCUGAGCUCAAGUGAUCCUCCUGCCUUGGCCUCCCAAAGUGCUGGGAUUACAUGAGCCACCGUGCGCAGGCUAGAAUAUUUGAUUCUUUUCUUUCAUGCUAUGUUAUUAUUUAAAGCCAUGAUUUAGAUGAUGCUGUGUCUCUGGUCUGGAAUGCAGGUUUAUUCAUUGGAAGAACAUGAUCUACAUUGCAACAUGAUCCUCAGAAACACAUUGAAGCAAAAAGGGAGAGACCUAUGUGCUUUCUCUCUUAUUUUUUUGAGACAGUCUUGCUCUGAGUGUAGUGGCGCCAUCUCGGCUCACUGCAACCUCUGCCUUCCGAGUUCAAGUGAUUCUCCCAUCUCAGUCUCCUGAGUAGCUGGGAUUACAGGUGUGUACCACCAUGCCCAGCUAAUUUUUGUAUUUUUAGUAGAAACAGGGUUUCACCCUAUUGCUCAGGCUGAUCUCGAACUCCUGAACUCACACGAUCCACCUGCCUUGGCCUCCCAAAGUGCUGGGAUUACAGGAGUGAGCCACCGCGCCUGACCUAUAUGCAUAUUUUAUAUCUAAAGAAAAAAGGACUAUAAAUAAAUAUGAGAGUCUUGUUAUAACAUGUGUGCUGAAGUGUUUAGGGGUGAAAUGUACUAAUGCCACAGUUCAUUUUUGAAAUGCCUCAAAAUAGGCAUUUUGAGGGAUGGAUAGUUGAAUAGAUUAUAUGAUAAACUGAGCAUAAUGAAGUGUUAAUUGUAGACUUCAGGGAUGGGUAUAUGGAUGUUCACUGCAAAAUUCUUUCAACUUUUCACUAAGUUUGAACAUUUCCUAAAAAUUUUAAUUCAUUUCUUUUCUUCUUUUUUUCUUUUCUUUUUUUUUUUUAGACGGAGUCUUGCUCUGUCGCCCAGGCUGGAGUGCAGUGGCGUGAUCUCCGCUCACUGCAAGCUCUGCCUCCCGGGUUCACGCCAUUCUCCUGCCUCCUAAUUCAUUUCUUUUUUUUAGAGACAGGGUCUUUCUCUGUCUCCCAGGCUGGAGUGCAGUGAUGUGAUCCUAGCUCACUGCAGCCUUGAAUUCCUGGGCUCAAAGGA
ensembl:lncRNA